rnacentral:rRNA from 1 species
AAUAGAUACCCCGGUAGUCCACGCCGUAAACGAUGGGUGCUAGCUGUUAUGCGUAUCGACCCGUGUAGUAGCGAAGCUAACGCGUUAAGCAUCCCGCCUGGGGAGUACGAACGCAAGUUUAAAACUCAAAGGAAUUGACGGGGACCCGCACAAGCGGUGGAGCGUGUUCUUUAAUUCGAGGCUAAGCGAAGAACCUUACCAGGGCUUGACAUCCUUGGAAUUUCUCCGAAAGGAGAGAGUACUUUAUUGGACCAAGUGACAGGUGCUGCAUGGCCGUCGUCAGCUCGUGUCGUGAGAUGUUUGGUUAAGUCCAUUAACGAGCGCAACCCUUAUGAAUAGUUGUAUUUUUCUAUUCAGACUGCCCCGGUAGCGGGGAGGAAGGGGGGGAUGAUGUCAGGUCAGUAUUGCCCUUACGCCCUGGGCUAGAAACGCGCUACAAUGGCCGGUACAAUGCGCUGCCAACCCGGCGAGGGGGGGUCAAAUCGCAUCAAAGCCGGUCCCAGUUCGGAUAAGAGGCUGAAACUCGCCUCUUUGAAGCCGGAAUCGCUAGUAAUCGU